rnacentral:lncRNA from 10 species
GGGAGGCUGAGGUAGGAGGGCUGAGGACAAGGAGUUAAGUGAGCAGAGGGAGGGAGAAAUCAGCCACCUCAUCUCCAAAGAACCUGAUGAUUUGCAGGAAAACAUGGGCUAUCAGGCAUUGCUUGAAAAAAAGAGAUAAAGGCCAGGCAUGGCGGCUCAUGUUUGUAAUCCCGACACUUUGGGAGGCCGAGGUGAGAGAAUCGCUUGAGCCCAGGAGUUCAAGACCAGCCUGGAAAACACGGCAAAACCCUGUCUCUACAAAAAACACAAAAAUUAGCCAGGCAUGGUGGUGUGCAUCUGUAGUCCCAGCUACCCCGGAGGCCAAAGAGAGGGAGGAUCGCUUGAGCCCAGGAGUUGGAGGCUGCAGCAAGCUAUGAUUGUACCACUGCACUCCAGCCUGGGCAAUACAGCAAGACCUUGCCUCUGGAAAAAAAGAAAAAGGAGACAAAGAGGGGCUCUGAAAGCUGUUAAAGUGGAAGGGCAAGUUGAGUGUGCAAGUAGGGAGGUGGAACUACAUGGGCUGUGGGCAACACAGAGGCCCCUCCCGCUCCUUGCAGGACUCAAGUUUUGAGACCCGAGACCACCCAGUCAGGGUUGGAGACUGGGGGAAGCAGGGCUGGAAGGAGAAAGGCUCGGAGUGCUCCGCUCAUGGUGCAGGCUGGGCACCCAUGGGCAACUCGAGAAGGGGAAUUCCUGCCAAGUCAGGGAAUGAGCCAUUGGUAGAAACAGUGUGGCUGUCGUCAGGAGAGUGGUGAUCUCAGCCUGGCUGGCCCCACCUGGCUUGGGCUCACCCAGCAGGUAGGUGGAAGAGCGGCGAGCCGUGUGGGGAAGGAGAAGGGCAGCAAGGAAGGUCAUUCAGGUGGCCCAUGGCUCCCCAAGGUGAGGUCAGCCUUUUUCAUCAAGGGGGGUGGGGCUAGCUUUGGCUGCAACGCGCAGAUCAUGGGGCUGUGGUUAGUUCUGAGAGGCUGGGGAAGGUGGGAACUUAUGGGAUUCCCACAAGCCGUGGGCUGCAGGGCGCUGGCAGGCAUUAGGGCCAGUCACCAUGAGCUGGUUGGCAGUGCUGACCUCUCUUCCUGCCCUUCCCAAAAGGAAAACCUCUCCUUGCAUGCUGCCUUGAGGCUUCAGCCUUGGUUCAAACUACAUUCACUUACGGGAGGGAUCCACCAUUAGUCCUGAGCAACUUCAGCCCUGGCCCUGUCAUACUUUCUCCUGAGAGCUGGGUUGAGAAAGGGAAAUGAAGAUGAACAUGACACCUAAGAGAGCUAACAUUUAUUGAAGACUUACUGGGCACCAGACACUGCCAUAGACAUUUGUUAUCUCAUUCAGUCCUUGCCACAGCCUUGGGAGGUAGGUUCAUAUUGUCUCCAAUUUAAAAAUAAGAAAAGUGAGGCUGGGGGCAGGGAAGUGCAGAUGGUUAAUGGGUACAAAAAUAUAGUUAGAAUGAGUAAGAUCUAGUACCUGAUAACACUACAGGGUGCCUGCAGUCAACAAUAAUUUAUUGCACAUUUAAAAAUAACUAGGGCCAGGCGCGGUGGCUCACACCUGUAAUCCCAGCACUUUGGGAAGCCAAGGCA